AUGACUGGACACAAAGAAGAAGAGGAGAGACGAAGAAGAAGAAGAAGUAUCCGGAUCAUGGCUACAGCUGACAGUGGGGCGAAGCCCCUUCAAAAUGCUAUGAAAAUGGCCAAAGUAGCGAUACAGCUGGACGGAGAGAACAAACACCAGGAAGCUUACUGUGAAUACCUGCGGACGAUCAACUACAUAUCACGUGCACUUUUGGAGGAAGCUGAGUCACAAACUUCAGAGGAGGGGGACACGGUAGCGGUGGAGGUGGAGCGGAUGUUGAGGCUGGCUGAGCAGUGUCUGGAGCGGGCCAAGUCAUUUAUAGGGAAGAGAGCUUACCCCCCUAACCUCUCUGCGUCCGUCUCCACUUCCCUUUCCUGUUCACCUGGCCAAUCAGUGCCCCAUCAGAAGGCCCACCUCCCAGCCACCGUUGCUGCAAACUCUGUCCCUCCAUCUGAUAGUCCUGUUGACGCAGGGCGUAGAGCAACCAGCCCAACAAAGACCAGUCACCACAGGGUGAUGUCAGACGGUAGCGGAGAGCCCCCCCCUUUCCUGCCUCCUGAAGUCUUCCAGAGAAUACAAACCGUGGAGUCACAGGACACGAGCAAACAGGAGCUGACACCCAUAGAAGAAGCAUCACGUUUAAACCAGAAGUUGAAAGCCAAUUAUGAAGCUCGUCUGGCAAGGCUCCCACCUGGUCAGGCCUACCAGAAGACAUCGUUGACGCUCUGUCUCCAGCGGCAGAUGACGGAGAACCUCAUUAUUGCCAAAGCCAGGCAGGAUGCUCUUCAGAGGAAGAUGGAGGAGAGAAGACUAAGGCUACAAGAGGAGGCCAACAGGAGAUUUGCAGCAUCUGGGGCAAUGACUGCAGAGGAGCAAGAGCAGCGUGUUCUUUAUACAAAUGUACUGGAAUAUGAGCAAGACCAUGAUUGGCCCAAACUGUGGAAAGCCAACAUGAGGAAGAAUCCUGAUGAUGUCGCAUUAGUGUCAGGUCUAGUCUCCUACCUGCUCAGCCGGUCUGACCACCCAGUGGUGAAGCUGCUGAGGAAACACCAGUACCGGGUUUACAACAGGCUCUACCCUAUCGUCAGUAAACGCCUCCCCCAGAGUCCUGCCCUGCCAUUGAGGUCUUCUCGCAGCACUCACAACCUGCUUCAUCCAGAUAGCCAGACGAAGCCAACCAGGGGCAGUAGCGUUGGUGGCCAGAGCUUCAGCACUGGCUCGUCGCUCUCCCCCUCGCUCUCUCACGACCGCCACGCAAACUUUGACGAUAAGGAAGGGGAGGAGCCUCAUGCACAGGUGACGGUGGAUCGGGAGAACUCGUUUGAAGACCUGGAGCAGUUCCUGACCCAGUUGGACUGGGCCCCGCUCUACGGCAGCACAGAUGACACUGGCUCGGAUUCUGAGCUGGGCUGUGAUCCCUCGAUGCAGCCAGAGCAGGACGAGGGAAACCUCCAGGAGAUGGAGAUGAGAGCGCUGACAGAACACCUGAAGGCCGUUGUUAAAGACAUUCAUAUUGCAAUCGAUCAGCUUCUGUCACUGUGUUUGUUAUCCUUUGAGUGUCUAAACACAGCCAGCUCUAAAGACCUGUGCCUUGUCAGCAUAGAGGAAGCCUUCUUCACACCGCUGUGGAGUGCCCUGUUGGCUCUUUUCAGGAGGGUCCACAGGGAAAAGGAGCAGGCCUUUGAGAAAAGUAUGAAGCUGUACUGCGAUGUUUCACCAGGAGAUGUUGGUGUUCCAUUGAAACUGUUCCCUGAAGACCCUGGCGCACUGCAGGGUUCCUACCCCUACGAGUCUGCUGUUCAGGAGCUCAAGCUUCUCAUCAAAGACUGCUGUCCACAGAGGAAGUUGGAAUGUAUUGUUAGGACUUUACGUCUGAUCUGUGCCUGCGCCGAGGAUUACAGGUGUCUUCAUGACGUGGACUCCACACCAAAAACCGCCGCCAUCGGGGCAGAUGACCUGUUGCCCAUCCUGUCCUUCGUGGCUCUGCGGUGCCAGUGUCCUCAGCUGGUGUCUGAAUGUGCUGCUUUGGAGGAGUUUAUUCAUGAAGGCUAUUUGAUAGGAGAGGAAGGCUACUGUCUGACCUCCAUGCAGAGUGCCUUGGCCUAUGUUGAGUCAUUGUACACAGAAGAAACUCCGCUUCCUGCAGAAAGCCCCAUUUGAAAAAGGCAGCUUCAUUUCACCAAGAAAGAGACAAAGAAAAGAGACGGAGGGACAGUCAGCUGCUACAGAAACACCUGGGCAGUUAAGUGCUUGUUUCAUUUUUUACCCUCAUAGUUGUUUGUUUUUUUUACUUUCUUGUGGCGGCGAUAGAGAGAGGGAUGUUUCCAGUUUAUUGUACAGGACUCUCACACCACCCAGCUGAAAAAAGUUAUGAAGUUAUAAAUAAAUCUUUUACCCUACAGCCUGGUUUACAGACAGGUCUGAAUGUGCUGUUCACUGCUCUACACUGAAAUAAGAUGUUACCCAUUUUAAAUAUUUAAAAAAAAGAAAAUUGGACCAGCACAAAUAAAUCUUGGAAACAGUUCAAACUAAUGUGAGGGAUAUUUGGUGCCUUUUCUCUGAGCUGUUAUUUUUCAUCUGAUCUCAGCCUUCUCCCAAACUACAAAUUACAAUGUAGACUCAGCUAAUGUGGAGGUAAGUAAAUGAAAAACCUUUUUCGUUUAGACUGAUCUUUAUAAAAAUGACUUGACACAAUGACCUGCCUCUAAGUCAGAUUACUGUUAGAUUUGAUCGUAGAACAGACUGAACUGUGUAGGGCAGGUCACUCUUUUCAGCAGUUUUGCCAGCAGUUAUGAGGAGAGAUGGGGGGGAGGGGGGGUACGGGGUGUGAUGACAUUGCAUGUUAUAAAAUGUGACAUCCUCAACUGCCAUUCCCCAAAACUCCCAGCGACACAAUUAUUCCACUACAGCCAAAUAUUUAAUUUUGCAGAUCGCUGUGCUUCACAGAGCUGUCACUCAUCUGCCGGGUGGCUGGAUUAAGAAGUGGAAGCAUUUGGAGUAUUUCUUAAUACAGGAACCGAUUUAGUUUUAAAUAUGGCUGUUGCAGUCCAGAUCCUUCCGACGGUUCAUCCCACAUUUCCUGCUGCGAGAGAGACUGCAGCUGAACCUGCAAUUCCCUGCAAGUUGUGCAGGCGCAUGGUACCUUGUACACACACUGACAUAUUGUAUAUUUAUGAAGGAUUUCCUUCUGCUCUGUUUCAAACCAAGGACUAAACCGGUGCCUAUGAGUUGGGUCCAACCAAAUCAGAAACUGGGCUUUGCUGGGACCUCUAAAGAAAAUGCAAAGCAUUGCCGCAUUAACUAGCACUGGAUUGUUAAAGGGAUUGGAGUUGUCUUAGGGAACCUUUGGAUGUGAAGCCGUUGAUAAUAUGAAUGCUUACAGAAGAAAACCUGCAAUAUGGUUUACUAAUAAGGGAAUAUACUGUAUUUAAGCAUAUUGGAGGUCUUACGAUUUUUCCCUGAGUGAAGGAGCCAAUCGUGUGUGCUUUGACUAAUUGAUUUCUUUCUUAGGGUAUGGUAAUAGCAUUUCAUAGAAAAUCCUUUGGAAAACUAUUUCAAGCCAUGUUCCCUGUGGCAUUUUCUGUUCUUCUGGUUUACCAAAAACAUGCAAACUUAUAAUUUAGAUGGUGUGCGCACACACGUGCCUGCGUGUUUUUUUUUUUUUUUUAAGACUGGUGGCAAAAUCCUUCCACAGACUAUGGAAAAAAAAUAUAUAAAUUUAUGCACUUUGGGUGUUGAAGCAUUCAGGGGUAAGGCUACACUGGAUAAUGCCUAGAGUUAAGAGUAUCUAUUUGCAGACAGACUCUCCUCAGGGGGAGAGACGAGAAUUUCAGAGAUGCCAUCUAAAACCAAUGUUAGACACUGGUAGAGCACAGGAGUAACUGCUGAGUGACAGUCACUGUGUUUAGAUGUAACAGCAUGUUGGUUAACAUUUAAGUUUGGCAUACAGGAAUAUAAUGAUGUAGUAAUUACUGUUGUAAUACAGUUGCACUUUGUGUGUGUGUGUGUGUGUGUGUGUGUGUGUGUGUGUGUGUGUGUGUGUGUGUGUGUGUGUGUGUGUGUGUGUGUGUGUGUGUGUGUGUGUGUGUGUGUGUGUGUGUGUGUGUGUGUGUGUGUGUGUGUGCUCGCCUCAGAGCAUCUAUCUUUUAAUGCUAAGGUUCAAAAUCAACAAACUCCAAAGAAAAGGUAAACCCAUUUUCACAGCUUAUUUUACACUUUUUACCAAUUUCAUAAUGCUUCCCUUGAUGUCUACAAUUGCCCCAAAUUCACCAUAGAAUGGGAGCAAAAUGGCACCCUAUUUAUUUGGAAGUGGAUACGAUAGAUUUUGAGGCGCUUAAAAAUGAUCAGAUGUAUGGUAUCACAGAGAUUGUCAUGUUGAUUUGUCGUGAUUGGACGAACUUCUUAACAGAUAUUUGACAUUUUCUAUGAAGUCCUUCAAGCUGUUUGGUUUUAAAUAAAUGCAGCCACCAGAGUCAGUGUUUACCUAAAAGGGUCUGGUGUUCUUGCAUUUUUUUAGCCGGUUGCGUUCAAAUCAUGUUUACUUGAGUGACCGUUCUCUAAAGCAUGCUGUUUUUUAACUUCCUUUAAGUCUUGAGUGUGCGUUUGUCCCUUCCAGGCAGCCAUUGGUUUCUAUUCAUUUUACCAGGGUGUACAAAUAACUUGCAAGUUCUGGAAACUUGCUUUGAAUCGGCCCCUAUUUGUGUCCAAGUUGUGUUAUGGUUGCAGUAAUACAGUUAAAACCUCAAAAUGAAUUGAAAGCGCCAUUGUGGCUCAUUCUUAUUCAUUCAGAUAUCUUUAAUCAUGUUAAUUAUGGACAGUGACUUAAGUUCUACUUAAUGUUUCAUAAAUGGGCGGCUAAAAUAUGCAAAAAUGUUUUUGGUUUGUGUUUUGAAGACGCACCUGAAGCAGACAUGGAUCCAGUGUCACAGCCUGAAAAAGUACAGUUUUUGAAAUUGUUGUUUUUAGUUUGGUUUGUUUGCUUAUAUUUUAAUAUUUUAUUUUCCAUGGGUCCAAAAGAUGUGAAAAGAUGUCCCAAGAACUGUUUAGAACUGAAGAGCUGUUAAGAACUGAGUUAUGUCAAUAUUUAACUGUUUUACUGUGAAAUGUUGGUUUGUGAAUGUGUGUUUGAGAGAUGGGUCAAUAAAGAGAGCAAUAUUUAAAUCCUUUAA